rnacentral:rRNA from 1 species
CCUACGGGAGGCAGCAGUGAGGAAUAUUGGUCAAUGGACGAGAGUCUGAACCAGCCAAGUAGCGUGAAGGAUGACUGCCCUAUGGGUUGUAAACUUCUUUUAUAUGGGAAUAAAAUGUUCCACGUGUGGGAUUUUGUAUGUACCAUAUGAAUAAGGAUCGGCUAACUCCGUGCCAGCAGCCGCGGUAAUACGGAGGAUCCGAGCGUUAUCCGGAUUUAUUGGGUUUAAAGGGAGCGUAGGUGGAUUGUUAAGUGAGUUGUGAAAGUUUGCGGCUCAACCGUGAAAUUGCAGUUGAAACUGGCAGUCUUGAGUACAGUGGAGGUAGGCGGAAUUCGUGGUGUAGCGGUGAAAUGCUUAGAUAUCACGAAGAACUCCGAUUGCGAAGGCAGUUCACUGGACUGCAACUGACACUGAGGCUCGAAAGUGUGGGUAUCAAACAGGAUUAGAUACCCCUGUAGUC